GCUCGAGUUAUGAGUUACCGUGGCCCAAGUACAAGUUGAAGUACCACUGGAGAACAAUAAGACAUCUCAAUCAAGCACGUGAUAAUCGUUCUGCGAUUCGAGAAGUGUAUUCACCAGAAUUAAUUGCCUACACCAAUUUAAAUAAAACGACGUGCACAUCACCCAGAACACCCCCAUGAGAAUGACAUCCCACACUUUUCAUCAUUUUCGUCCAUAAAAAUAUUCAUCCUGGGAAGAGAGAUGAAAUGACAGGCAUAAGGCAAAAAGUUCUCUGCAACGCCGCACGCUCGGUGUGCUGUUGCGUAACCAUAAAAAAAGGGGAUUUCAGCCUUGAAGCAGACAUCGUUACCAACUCUCAGGCACUUGAGUGGAAAUCAGCUAUUCUUCUGACAUAUCAACUCAUCUCCAACCUAACCCGUUCACUUGACACGCUUUUUUACGAUUAUGUUAUUUCUUUGGAGGAAUUCAUAAAUGGGAGAAAAAAUUGCUUCAUGACUCGGGAGUUACAGAUACCAUCGCAUGUGCCAGAGAAUAGAUCGGAAAAAAAAAUCUAUUCCAAUCGUUUUUUUUUUUGUGAAGUAAAACACAUACUUGCAGAUGACCUAGUAAGAAUUUUGGAAAUACUCACAAGGAAGAUUGAGCCGAAAAAAAAAUUAUAAUAUACUGCAAAUAUAUUAUUCAUUAUUCCUUCAUUAUUACAAAUGGAAAUUCUCAACUUCAAAAAUAGAUGACAG